rnacentral:lncRNA from 1 species
GUCUGGGUUCUGGUAUUCAUUAGCUUUGCUUCAGAAAAUUAGUUCUUGAAUCAUCAGAGGCUGUGAAGUGAUUUUGUUUCUGAUUGGUGAUGGGACUUGAAUUAAGAAGGUAGAAGAUCUUGUGAAUCCCUGUAAUUUGGGGUUUUGACAUUGAUUUGAUAGGAUUUGAAAACUAAGAAAAUGGAGAGAGAGGAAGAGACAUGGGAAUCUAAAC